ensembl:lncRNA
CCUUAAGGUUCUGCCCUAUUAUACAAACAGGUGGGCGGUUUCUACAAGCAUUAUAAGAGUGAAAGGACGUUUCAGCUUCUGCAAUACAAGCGUAAAGAGACGUCUGCAGGUAAACUGACAGCCAAUAUCCUGCCCAUUUAUCCAAGGAGGCGCUGUAGGGUUUUACAACAAGUUGAGAAGAUCAUAGGAAUACCGUAGUCCCCAUAUCCAGUCGUGAAAAGGAAAUGCAUACAUCUUUGCCCGUAGCCGUUUAGAAACGUUCCCUUCAUUUGCUGCUGCGGUUUACGGUGCGCCAUAUGGGACCGUUACUAACAGAUAUGCCGCUGGUGGCAUCCUUCGUCGACUCGCGAUCAGAAGGCAGCGGCACGUCUUUCUCCGGUGGGGACUGCCCAAGCCCAUCUGAAUCGGAGAGAGGAGGACAGAAAGGAGUGUGUGUGGACCGGAGAGGUAAAAGAAGAGUGAAGAACAGAGACGCUGCCAGGAAGAGCAGGAAAAAACAGACGGAGAGAGCAGACAUUCUCCACCAGUAAGGCUGGUUACUCACAGAGAGG